CAGCGUUUUCUGAACUCUCUCCCUCAAUGGCUGCUCAUAUAUAUAUAGCCAUGCUUCUUAAUUAAUUAAAGAACAGCCAUGAGAGAUUGAGUUCAGAAAACUCUGGC
rnacentral:pre_miRNA from 1 species